rnacentral:piRNA from 1 species
UGUCAGCCAUUUCCUCUCUUAGGGUC